CUCACCCUGUCCUGCUCGAGGACCGUGGCAUCGGCGUCGAUCAGGUGGGAGAUGUACUGACUAUAAUGUGCAAAGCAAAGAUAUUAGUGUGGCAAUUGGAUAUCUCAUUUCAUUAUUACUGAAAUGCAAAUGUUGUCUCAACUGAACCGAAUUCUUUAAGAACUAUGCCUUCCUAAAUGUCUAAAUUUACUAACUGAAUUCUUAAAGAAUUGAUUCAAUUGCAUACUAACUGAACUAAGAAGGAACAAUUUACAAUGGGCAGCUGCACAUUACUUUCCCUUUCUUCAUGAUGAGGUUUGUCAUGCAUAAAGUAACAAGUAUCUAUUUACUACUUGGAAUUAAUGAUCUAGCAUUAGAAACCUGAAGUUGUGUAACACUGACCAUCAUUUGGAUAAUAAUAAAAACAACAUAUUUUCCAUCUUUGCAUUGGUAAGACUAAAACAAAUAUAUCAGACACCAUAUUACUCGUUCUUGAAAUGUGCCAACUAAAAUGAAAUACCUAGGCCUCACCUGCCCUGGAUGUCUUGUGCUCAAUCAUGCAAAGUUCAAACUUACAGAAUUCAUGUGAUAUCUAUCUCGUUAACCUUAGGUAUGCUAUCAAAGUGAAAAUGCAAGCCUUAUAACUUAUGCUGAAUAUAGAUCAGGAACCAAAAGUGAUCGGUCACAAGCGAAUGUUGCAAAUAAAUUUUGAGAAAUAUUCCAUCAGUACACACGAUUGUUACCAGUUCCACCAAUAUUCAUGAACAGCACGUGAAAUAUAAUAAGCAGAUGUUGUAGAGGAGAGAGCAGAGGUCCAAGUGCUCACUGAAGAAGAUUGUAGGCGAUGCAGCCGUUGCAGUGCAGGUCGGCUACCACCGUCGCGUGGCGGAGGAGGCCGUCACAUGAUGCACGGGAUGCACGGCCGCGCCGGAGACGCAGCAAAGGAGGUCGGGGUCGACGCCAUACAGCCCAACAUGCGCGAGCACACCGAGCUAGUGGGCGCCAUCCAAGGGUGGAGAGGGCGCGGUGUUCGACGGGGAGGAGCGGCCAGAGACGAGCCGGUGAUGGACGCGACGCCGCAGCCGAAACCCUAGCCACGGGCGCGGGGUUGUGGGCGAGCGCCGGAGACAAGUAGUGGCGGAUCCAGCCGGAUCUGAGGAUGGAGGGGUCGGAGACCAGCUCGCCGGUGUGCUG
rnacentral:lncRNA from 1 species